rnacentral:rRNA from 1 species
UACAGAGGGUGCGAGCGUUAAUCGGAAUUACUGGGCGUAAAGGGUGAGUAGGUGGUUGUUUAAGUCGUUUGUGAAAUUCCCGGGCUUAACCUGGGCGCUGCGAACGAGACUGGACGACUGGAGUAGAGUAGAGGGAAGUGGAAUUUCCGGUGUAGCAGUGAAAUGCGUAGAGAUCGGAAGGAACACCAGUGGCGAAGGCGGCUACCUGGACAAAUACUGACGCUGAGGCGCGAAAGCGUGGGGAGCAAACAGG